AGAUGCAGAGGAAUCAGUGGGGCUUCAGUCAGGACUAUCUGAAUCCCUGAGUCUUGCCUGGAGCAGAGCUGGCUGACCGACACUGGAUACCUGGAGAUGUUUCAGGUAAGUUAGGAAGACCUACAACCUGCUGUCUGAGAUGAGAUGCACCUGACAGGUUUCAGGCAGAAGAGGAGGAAGCUUUGUAAGAGAACUCUGGCUCUUUCUUCAGCCUGCAGAACCCAAAACGGGGAUCCUGAGGAUGUAGCCAAAGAAGGCCAAGGACAAUUCUUGAACUUGAUGCACCAGAUAGGAUUAAGAAGAAAGGACAAAGGAGCCAGUGUUUUGUUUCAAGAAUAUUAAAAUUGGGUCUGAAUUUCCCACUGGAUAAGUUUAGG